rnacentral:misc_RNA from 1 species
GCUGCACAUCUGAUCUCUGCGAUGCUCCUUGAAGUCCCCUACAUGGCUUCGAACUCUCAUGAUGCGAAGAGCAGGGUUAGCAGCAAGGCAUUCCUUUGGCUCCUCAAGAUGGGCGACCAGAAGACCUUCAUUGGCCCCCCUGAGAAUGUCAAAGAUCAUGUUUUGGCUGCAACGAGUGCCCUCAUCAAGGGAGACUAUGAUAAAGCUUUUCA